rnacentral:rRNA from 1 species
UACGUAGGGACCAAGCGUUGUUCGGAUUUACUGGGCGUAAAGGGUGCGUAGGCGGGUCUUUAAGUCAGGGGUGAAAUCCUGGAGCUCAACUCCAGAACUGCCUUUGAUACUGAGGAUCUUGAGUUCGGGAGAGGUGAGUGGAACUGCGAGUGUAGAGGUGAAAUUCGUAGAUAUUCGCAAGAACACCAGUGGCGAAGGCGGCUCACUGGCCCGAUACUGACGCUGAGGCACGAAAGCGUGGGGAGCAAACAGG